AUUGAACGCUGGCGGCAGGCCUAACACAUGCAAGUCGAGCGGGGUUUUCGGACCUAGCGGCGGACGGGUGAGUAAUGCGUAGGAAGCUACCCGAUAGAGGGGGAUACCAGUUGGAAACGACUGUUAAUACCGCAUAAUGUCUACGGACCAAAGUGUGGGACCUUCGGGCCACAUGCUAUCGGAUGCGCCGACGUGGGAUUAGCUAGUUGGUGAGGUAAUGGCUCACCAAGGCGACGAUCCCUAGCUGGUUUGAGAGGAUGAUCAGCCACACUGGAACUGAGACACGGUCCAGACUCCUACGGGAGGCAGCAGUGGGGAAUAUUGGACAAUGGGCGCAAGCCUGAUCCAGCCAUGCCGCGUGUGUGAAGAAGGCCUUCGGGUUGUAAAGCACUUUCAGUAGGGAGGAAGGGUUAAGUGUUAAUAGUACUUAACUUUGACGUUACCUACAGAAGAAGCACCGGCUAACUCUGUGCCAGCAGCCGCCGUAACAC
rnacentral:rRNA from 1 species